UACGGAGGGUGCGAGCGUUGUCCGGAAUCAUUGGGCGUAAAGGGCGCGUAGGUGGCCCGGUCAGUCCGUGGUGAAAGCGCGGGGCUCAACCCUGCGUCGGCCAUGGAUACUGCCGCGGCUCGAGCACUGUAGAGGCAGGCGGAAUUGCUGGUGUAGCGGUGAAAUGCGUAGAGAUCAGCAGGAACACCCGUGGCGAAGGCGGCCCCCUGGGCCGUACCUGACGCUGAGGCGCGAAGGCUAGGGGAGCGAACGGG
rnacentral:rRNA from 1 species